AAAUGAGGAUGUGUGGUUAGAGUUAAAAAUGAGUGAGAGUGGAGGACAGCACGAUCCAUCACUGGAACAGGUUGCCCAAGGAGGCUGUGGAUGCCCCAUCCCUGCAGGCAUUCAAGGCCAGGCUGGAUGUGGCUCUGGGCAGCCUGGGCUGCUGGUUGGCGACCCUGCACAUAGCAGGGGGUUGGAACGGGAUGAGCACUAUGGGCCUUUUCAACCCAGGCCAUUCUGUGAUUCUAUGACUCCUCUACAAUCAAUUUUAGCUGAGUAGAUUUGUCCACACGCCACGCUCUCAUGGCAAAGUGCAUCGGGGGAUAGGUGGUUUGCAUUAAGGGGCAAUAAUGCAAAGAGGUGCCUAUGGGUGUGCACAGGGCUACAGCCUGAAACCUCUGCAGCAGCAAAACUGCACUGCUCCCCACUCAACUGCACCGCCACCCUCAGGCUCAUGCCUCCCCACGCUGGGCAGCCCUCCUCCAGACUACCAGACAGUGUUUGACAAAGUUCCACAUCAGAGAUUAAGGUCUUUGUACAGAGAUUGAGGUCUACAGAAAGAAAGGGAGCGGAAUAGACAGAAAUGUAACAUAAAAUGGAUUGACAUUGGCUAAAGGGCAGAGCGGGGAGGGAGACAGCCAUAAACACAGAUUUUCUUUAGGGGAGAAGCAGCCAGAAAGACGUUAUUCAGCAUGAAGAGUCCCGCGGUGUGUCAUUUAAGCAGAAGACAACACAGAAAGUAAAUACAAACUGAUAGCAACCGGUGAAACCUACAAUCGCUAAAUCACUGUAAGACCAAUGGUGGGCCAGUUGGAGCCCCUGUUCUACCAAUUAACUAAGCGGAAAAUAUUCAUCAACAGCAUUUGUCACAUAAGAAAAAAACACUGCAGCUGCCCAUAGGAGAUUGGUUGUUAGACCAGGCUGGGUGCUGCACAAAGCAAGAGGUGGAACAUACCUGGUGCUGCAGAAGGUGUCCUUAUCUGUGCAGUGCCCAUCACCCAAUGUCUGGGGGCAUGGUGGUCAACUCCAUGGUAACUG
ensembl:lncRNA